CUUAUGGCCUACAGAAAGGAGGAUUUUGAGGAUGUGAGCACCAAUUUCAACUGUCAAAAUGUGUAUCGCAUUUACUGCGCCCCUGAAGUUUUGCUGCGGAUCAGCUCUAGCUUCACAGCAGCAGCUGACGUGUACAGCUUCUCCAUUAUCUUGGUCGAAAUCGCCACUCGGAGUGACUUCAUUUCACAGGAACAAGAGGAUUCAAGCUUGAUGUAAUGUGGCAUCCGUCACUUCCCAAACUGAAGGCUGGGAAAGACAAUGAUUGCCCAGAUCCGGACGAUUACUGUGAGCUGAUGAGACCCACGUUCGAUCAGGUGAAGAAGAUUCUUGAUAAAAUGAACCCGCACAAGGUCAGCCCUGUGGAUAUGAUGAUGAACCUGAUGGAAAAGUACAGUAAACAAUUGGAAAGCAUUGUAGCUGAGAGAACACAAGAUGAUCUUCAGGAGAAGCAGAAGACAGACCGGUUGCACAAGGCUUUAAACCAGAUUUUUUCCCCAAUUGGUUCGUUCCGAACAGAAACAGUAUCCGGUUUUCGGUUCAACCCUAAAAUUGACGUUCUUGAACCAGUUAGAACCAAAAAAAGUUCCCGAACCAGUUAAUAACGUUCCAUGUCACCUGUGGGAUAUACAAAUAAGAAGGCUGAUCAUAAGGACGUUGAACUUAAAUUAUUAGCCUACAUAUUUUACUUGUGUCGUUAUCUUGUCAUCGAACACUAAAAACUGCUACAUUAUGUAAGCGGCAUAACUGUAAUUCUGACAUGCCUACAUUUGUUGAGUGCAC